rnacentral:lncRNA from 1 species
GGAGGGAAAAAAAAUGAAACUUGAUGGUAUCAGGGACUUGGAAGACUGCAUUCAAAUAUUCAAAGGGUUAUGUGAAAGAUGGAUUGAACUUAUUCUAUGUAGCUCCAAAAAACAAAACCAGGUCUAAUGGGUGAAAGUAGAUUUGACUUAAUAUAAAAACUCUCUAAUGGUGCUAGCUGAUGUGAAGGAAGCACAGUGUGGUGGUACACCUUGCAGUCCCUGCUGCUGAGGGGACUAAAGUUAUAAACUGCUUAAAUUCGAGUUGUAAGGUAUUAAUUGUGUUAAUGCCAAUCAGAUAUCCCCACAAAGUCUGGCAUUAAUAUGGUGGUUCCCUGGGAGGAAAACAGCAACUGAAUUGCCUAUGGAAGGGCUAGUCACCCAGGCUAGAAAUGGAGCAGGUCAAAGGUUCUGUGCCAAUAAUGGGAUCACCCAUGAGUAAGCACAACACUUCCAGGACAGAAGACUCAAAAUGGACAGAUAGGUAAACACACACAUAAAUACAUGAAGUUAUGGUUGAUGGAAAGGCUUCAGCAAAGGCUAAAUUCACCAAGAAUGUUGAGCAUUCAUGCAUUAAGGUUUCUAGAUGGUUUCUUAAAAAAAUCUCUUCUAGUUCUGAGAUACAUGUUUUAUGACUGACAGUUAAAUGUUUUCAAAUAAAUAACAUACUUUUUAAAAAGUCAAAUCUCAAGUAUCAAAGGAGCCUAUGACAUGUAUCUAUGCCUAGGAAUAGAUUAGGACAUUAAAAUAAGCUUAACAUGCUUUCUGCAAGGAAAUACAUUAUGGAAAAUCUGGGUGUAAAUGGAUAAUUUUUUUAAUGACUCUAGAAGGUAGUAAAGUCAGAAAUAUGGGACUGUUCAAAUAAAGGAUUAGUCAAUCUAAGGAAUCCCCUGUUGGAGAUUCCAUCUCCAUAAAUGUAUUUCUGACUUAGUAUAUAAGUCUUGGGAAGUUUCCUGAUAUAUAGAGAGAUCAAGUGACUUGACCAAGGUCAUAUAGUUAGCCUGAAGAGGCAGAAUUUGAACUCGGGGCUUUAUGACUUUGGAGCCCAAUUCUCCAUCCUGAGUGAUACCAUGCUAACUCUUUUCAUGAACAUAUAUAUGGAAAAUAUUUUAAAUAAAAUAUUACUAUACAGUGAUCUAAUCUAAUUGUUUUAGGUUAGAGAGAAAGUGGGAUUAAAAAUACAUUUUGGAGAUCUCUGUAUUUUCUGGUUUAUCUCACUUUUCCAGGUAAAAACAAUUUUUUCACUCUCAAGAGAAAUCCCCAAAAAUCCAGACUCUCUUACAUAAUGUGGGAAGUUUUCACUCUCUACUAACAGCAGAACACUUCUGGAAAUAACUUUUAUUCUAUAUAUAUUAUAUAGUCUGCGAUUACCUUCUUUUGCCACCAGAGGGAACACCUCCAUAUAGCAAAAAGACGCUGACCAGGAUGGAAAUGUGUGGGGUCAUCAUAGAGCAGUUUAUAAACCAGUGGCCAAAAAUAGCAGAAGCUUACAAAUAUGUAAAUCAAAUUGGCAAAAAAGUAAAAUACAGAAUUUUUUUGAGAGUGAACAUCAAAAAAUAUCAGGAGCAAAAUUCUGGCUACAAAUAAUUGUCUGGUAGAUGGCACCAAAUAAUGGUGAUCAUGAUUGGUAAAAAGCGUACCAAGUGUUUUCACCCCUUCAAUAUCUGAAAAAUGUAGCAUAAGUAUUUUGUCAUUUUUCAGAUGAGAAAAAUGGGGGCCAAAAGGAAAAACUGACUUUCCCACAAUCACAUAGAUAGUAAGUGGGGAAAGUACAACUUGAACCCAGAUUUUCUGAACAAGGAUCAGUGUUCUUUGCUUUAACACACAAAUUAGAUCAAAUUUAUCGUCAGUAUCCAAACCAUUCCCCAUUUUUUUUAACCUUCCUUCUCUCUGGGAAAUUUCUUUAUUGGACUUCUGGUAUUAAUGAUAUCUUUAUUUGAAUGUGUACUCACAUAGCAGCCCACCAAUUGGUAGAAAUAUGAUUAACCUAUUUUUGUCUAGAUAGAUUUAUCUUGAUGUUUCAUCAUGGAGCCAAGAUGAACCAUAGGCUCUUAAGAUUCUGACAAGGAGGCACUACAAAGCUGAAAAGCUUAGAUAUUUGUCAGACAAGGUUUGAAUGUGCUCUUUGUGGUUACAAAGUGACAAAAGAAAUUAUGAUGCAUAUGGAGGAAGAGGUUAGUAAAGCAAUAUACACAUCAAAUAAAUUAUGGAUUCUUGAAAUAUGUCAAAUAAUGCAGACUUUUUUAAAAACCUAAAUUGAUUUUUUAAAUCCAAAACUGAUCAAUUCAUUUUCUUCUAAAAUCUAAAGUUAUUGUUGAGUCAUUUCACUUGUCGAUUCUUUGUUGACCCUAUUUGAAGUUUUCUUGACAAAGAUUACCCUAUUUGAAGUUUUCUUGACAAAGAUUCUGAAGUGGUUUGUCAGCUAUUUUUACAAAUGAAGAUACUUGAGGCAAAAAGGGCUAAGUGACUUGAUCACACAGCUAAUGCAUGGGGCAGAAUUUGAACUCACAAGUUCUGCUAUCUUAUCCACAGGGCCACCUAACUGCCCCAAAAUGCUGCCCCUAGAAAACCCCAAAGUGCAGCCUUGAUUGUGACAACUAAAGUCGAAAGUUGCUAUGGUGUUAAGAUUGAAUGAUUUUAAAAGUCUCAUUGUAAACAAAUCAUUAUUGUACUUCUAAUUGUCAAAUGCUGUCUGUCCAUUUCCUCAAUGCCUCUCACCUGUUAAGAAAAUUAUAAGAAAUCCUGCAGUGAAUGUCUUAAUUCAUUUACUCAUUCAUUCAACAAAUAUAUUUUAAUACUUAAAUUGUGUUGUUAGGUUGUGAGCAAUAUAAAGAAGUGGAUCCUUUAGCAAAAGGAAAAAAAAAACUCACUUCCUAAAUUAUGUCUGCCAUAAUUCAUAGUCUUUAGGCAGGAUUCAUUAUAGGCAUAAGCCAAAUCUUAAAAAGACACUUUUUAAAGGUAUACAAAUUUUAGAGGCAAUAUUAUACCCUGCUGGUCUUGACCUAAUUACAUGCUUGUUUUGAUGGAUUCCUGAUCUCAUCAAUAUGGGUAUUCUAAAGAUUCCAGUCCCUUCAUGCCUUAUCCUUUUGGGGAUUUGUCUGUCUGGAUUUUUUUCUAUAAAAACUUCAGUAGAAGGCCUUUAUUUUUUAAAUCAAAAGUGGCUGCUGUCUUUCAUUCUAGCUACACGACUGAUCUUCCUAAUGAAGCAGGGAAGAGCCCAGACCCUGGAAAGUAAAGACCAUUCCCCUCCUUUGCCAUCUUCAGCACAGCAGUAGAGAUCCACUUCCUUGCUACCUGUUGUUACCUGCUAGUACCACCAUCUCUGGGACACUGAAAAUCUUCUCAACUGCUUACGUCAUCCAUCUCCUCAAACAGCACUUCCCAUUAUGUCCAUCAACCUCGAUCCUAUUCCUCCCAUGCUCCAUUCCGGCUACUUCCCAUUAUGCCUUUUCUCUCACGCUCCUUCCAUCUUCUGGGGAUCACAGACCUCCAGUCCAAGAUAAGAAUGCAUCCCUCUAGCACUGGCAGACCUCCUCUCAUACUUCCCAACACAGUGAUGGGGGGGAGGGUGAAGAAGAGGGACAAUAUUCCUUCUCCUCCACUGACACUUCUAAACUUUGCUUCUCAUCAUUGCUCUCCACUGAGGUUCAUUCUAAGAAAACUGCCGCUCAAUCUGGAACCUGAUGGCACUGAUGCACUGGCGAUUUCCCUGCCUUUCUAAAUGAGUUCUGUGUCUGAUUCAGUCUUCCUUUUAAACCUAACAUCUGCCAUACCAACAGACAUCAGGGUGCAUGUUAGUCUCCUAAAAAUCCUUACUUUCAAGUCAAUUCCCAUGACCUAUUAGUUUAUUACAUUUAAGGUAUAUUCCUGACCUUACCACCCACAAAUGUUCCAGUUCCAUGAUGAAGAAUAAUGAAAUUUCUCAAUCUGAUCACAAUUUCCUAUCAGUUUCACAAUGCUUUGUUUCAAUUGCCUUGACACUCUGUGACCUCAUUUUCAUGGCAGACAUUAGAGCGGUUUGCCACUUUCUCCUCUGGUCCAUUUUACAGAUGAGGAAAGUGGGGCAAUUUAUGUUAUGUGAACUAUCCAGGGUCACACAUCUAUUAUGUUGAGGCCCAGAUUUGAACUCAGGAAGAUGAGUUGUCUUGACUCCAGGUUGGUGCACUAUCCGCUGCAUCACCUACCUACCUGCCCUUCCUAUGCCCUACUAUCUAAAUGUCACCAUGAUAUCCAAUACCUUCACCCUAUCACCCCUACCCCAGCUUUUUUCCCAAUUUCAAUAGUUCAUUAGUUCAACUUUAGUUCAUCCUCAUCAUAAUUCCUUAUGUCCCAAUAGUGGAUUAUUCCCACCAUCUUCCUCUUCCACUCUUUAUAUGCUUCUAAACAGAGCUUGAGGAAAGAUCAUAAAUGUAUGGCUGAAUUUUCUGAAAUUGUGGUUGGUAAUUCCUUUAAAGUCAUAAGUCCUUCAAAGUUGUCUUUAAAAUUGUGUUAUAAGUGAUUCAAGACAAUUCCAAUAGACUUGUGAUGGGAAGUGCCGUCCACACCCAGAGAGCAAACAAUGGAGAAUGAAUAUGGAUAAAAGCAUAAUUUCACCUUUUUUUAGUGGUGGUUUGCUUUUUUUCUUUUGUGUUUUUUUCCCUUUUGAUCUGAUUCUUUUUUUUUUUUUGCACAACAUUACAAAUAUGUAUAUGUUUAGAAGAACUGCACAUUUAACCUAUAUAUCAGAUUGCUUGCUGGUUUACGGGAUGAAGGGGGAGGAGAGGUAGAAAAAUUUGGAACAAAAGGUUUUGCAAAGGUGAAUGUAGAAAACUACCAUUGCAUAAAAUACUAUUAAAUUUGUUUAUUAAAUUUAAACAGGAAAGAAAACAUUGAAAUAUUUAAGAUAGGCAUAAAAUUUAUCAACUAUCAUGGUAAAGAAGUUAAAAGCUUGGAAUAUUCUGGAAGAAUAUGGGAUUACAAACAAGAAAUUUAGGAAAAAAACAUCUAAUGAAAUGACUAUUCAAAUAUUCUUGAUAAAAAUACCAGUGCUGAGUAGAAAAUCUUUCGAACACAAAACUCAAAAACAGCAUAAAAAAGGUAAAAUUUUAAGGGACUCAAAAUUGUAGAAAAAAAUCUCCCCCAAAAAUUAUUAUAUAAAUUGUUCUUCUGGUUCUAAUUUUACAUAGUUCAUACAAAGCUUCUUAGGUUUCUUUGAAAUAAUCUCCUUCGUUAUUUCUUAUAGCACAGUGGUAUUCUAUCGCAUACAUCAAAACUUGUUCAACUAUUCAACAAUUAGAAGGAAUCUCAUUUCUAACAUUUUUGCCACAAAGCUUAAAUAUUUUUGUAUAUGUUUAAAUUUCCUUUUGCUUAAAACUAAUUACUAAUUCCCCAUCAAUCUACUUCCUCUUUUUUCUUUUCCUUUCCUCCAAUCACCCACCUAUUGGGUGAAAUGUAUUUCUGAAUCUAGCUACAUGCUUAUUCUUUCCUCCUUUGACCAGUUGAGUGAAGUUCAAGUGUGUGUCACCUACUACCUUUACUCCUUUCUCUUUGUUGUUCGGACUUGUAUUUUAAGUAAUUUCUCCCAUUCUUCAUAUUGAGCAUCCACACACACACAUUACUUUCCUUCUUUCUUGAAGCAUAAAAUUAUUGCCAAGUCCUCUACUUAUUAGACUCUAUAAUCCCUGAUAAUAAGGUUCAAGGGCACUUAGAAUACAAAGUUUAUCCUUUAGAUCCUUAUGAUCGCUUAACUUAUGUUGACCUUUUUAUGCUUCUGUUUUUUGAGUUUCAUAGUAGUUACUCAGUUCUGGUCUUUUCAUCAGGAAUUCUUACAUUGAAGGUUCAUCUUUUCCCCUAUUAAAGUAUACUGUUUUGUUGGCUGUAAGCCUACACUUAAUUGUCAAAUCUAAUGACAAUUCUGAAACCAAAUCCAAGGACCUUUUCUCAAUUUUUCUUUCUUGACCUCUUUUAGACUUAGCACUGUUAACCACCCUUUUCUGUUACUCUCCUCUGUCUGGUUUUUCUCCUAUCAUACUGCUGCUUUUCAUUCUCCUUUCCAAGAACUUCAUCCAGGCCAUACCUGCUAACAGCGUUGUCCCAUAGGGUUCUGCCCUAGGCCAGUUUCUUUCCGCUCCCCUUCACUUCAUGACCCUACAAGCUUCCAUAGAUUGGUCUAAUGCUUCCUAUCCAGCCCUAACUUCUGGGCUGACCUAGCCUCGCAUCUCCAAAUCCCUAUUAGGCAUCACUUCCUAGAACUGGAUGUCCUGUAGACAUCUUACACUCAACAUGUCCAAAACUGAAUUCAUUCUCUUCCCUCCAACUUUAUUUACACUCUUCCAAACUUCCUUAUUAUGGUCAAGGACAAUCAUCAUUCCCCUAGUCCCUUAGGUUCACAACUUACGUAUCAUCCUUAAUUCCUCUUCCUCUCUCAUCCCAUACAUAUCUCAUCUGUUGUUAAGGCCUGCUCAUUCUACCUUUAUCUCUUGUAUAAGUCUGGUGCAGGCCUUCAUCACCUUGUACCUAAACUGUUGCCAAUAGCCAAUGGCUGGCCUCCCUGCCAUGAGCUUACAGUUCCCCUAUUCCAGCUGUCAAAAUGAUCUUUCUAAACAGGUCUGGAUUGCAGCAAAUUCCCACUCAACAAACUCCAGGGGCUGGCUCCCAGUCAUCUCCAGGACUAAAUAGGAAAUAUCUAGUGUUCUUGUGUUCAAAGCCAUUCUUAACUUGGUGUCCCCCUUCCAGUCUUCUUACUCCUUGUUGCCACCCCAUAUACUCUUUGAUCCAGUGACACUAAUCUCACUGAUAAUUUCGAACAAGAUAGUCCAUUUCCCAACUUCCAUUUUUACUGUCACCCUGUCACCCAUACAUGGAAUGUUCUUCAUCUCUAUCUUCUAACUUUCCUGAAAUUCCACUUUCUACAGGAAUCCUUUCCAAAUUCCUCUUAAUUCUAGGGUCUUCCCUCUGCUUUCCAAUAUAUCUAGUAGGUAGUAGAUAGUUAUUUACACAUUGAGAACAGGAGCUUCUUGAAAACAGGAACUGUAUUUUACCUUUGCUUGUAUCAUAAUAAUGUAAUAUAUUGUCUAGCAUAUAGCAGAUGCUUAAACAUUUAUGUUUGUUGCAUUAUGUUUAAUUCCAAGUUCUCUGUUCCUUUAUGGUGGUGGAUUCUAAAUCAUUUGGGGGCCUAUGGCUCUUCAGUAUUUGAAUUCUUUCUGAUUCUUGCACAUUUUUUUCUUUUGACUUAAGAGUUUGAAUUUUAGUUAUAAUGUUCUUAGGAGUUUUAAUUUUGAAGUUUUUUUUUUUUAAGGCAAUGACUGCUAAAUUUUAUUUUCACUUUACCUUUAUUCAGAAUUUCUAUUCUUUUUUAAUCAUAAUUUUCAAACCAUCUAUUGAUUGUUAAAUUUUCUCCUACAUUUAUUUAGAUCUGUUGUUUUUACUAUGACAUAUCUUACUUUUUUUUUUCUAUUUUUCUCAGCCUUUUGACUUUUCAGCAUUUGUUUCUUAUGAAUUCAUUUAGCUUCUAUUUGGUCCAUUCUAAUUUUCAAAGAGUGUGCUGCUUAAGCAAGAUUUCUAACUGUUGAUCUUUCCAAUUUUCUUUUGUAGUUCUCAUUUUUUCCCCAGAUGCUUUGAUUUCACAUAUAAAAACAUUUUAAACAGUUUUUUAAAACCUUGCUUCAUCUCUUAAAAGAAUUAUAGCUCAAUUUGUGACUGAGUUGUAUUUUUGAGAAUUUGUUAGUAAGCAAACUUUUAUGAAAUUUUUUUUAAAAAAUUUCUAUUGAAAUUAGCAAUGUUAACUACUGAAAAUAAAAGUUCUUUCCAUUAAGUAAUUUGCAUUCUAUACAUAAAAGAUGAAAACCAGAGGAAAAGGGAAGGAGGAAAGCAAAAGGACAAGGUAAAGUUCUAUGGAGAGUCAGGAAUGCAAUUUGGAAGGAAAUGAAGAUAUUCAUCUUUCUUAAAAUGGAGAUUUGGGGAGGAACCAGCCAAUCAGAAGGAAAGAAUACAGGGCCAAAGGGGAUUUCCAAAGUGACAAGUAGUCCAUGGGAAUAAUAAGCUUCCACAAUGAAAAGGUUUCUGGGGCAAGAUAAAAUCCAGUGAGAAAGUCUUAAGCCUUAGAUGAUGUUUGGGUAGACUUUUGGGAGUCAUUCUCUUGCUAUGUGACUUGGGCAUGUUACCUUAACAGCUCUUUAUAGCAAGGCUGUUUUUUUGUUUGCUCAUUUUUUCAGCCUCCUUCAGAUAUUUUCAGAAUUUAUUAGCAGCACAAUUUCUGUGCACUUGUGGAAGGAAUGUCUGGGCUGGUCAUGCUGUUAUUUCUUGAGGAUGUUAAAUAUUGCAUUAGUCCAAGAUCUUAAGGACAGAACGGCUUAUGCUCCCAAUCACAGUCUGAUCCAGGGUAAAGUUGAGCUCUGUAAGUUCCUGACCUAAGUGUGGAAAUGAGCAAUAGUCUGUAGAUUUACCUACAAGGAGUUUCAGGAUAUUGCUAUUGGACUCAGCUAUUAUCUGCCCACUGGAAAGUUAUGCUGUUUCAGUGACAGAACCUUUCUGGAUCGAAAUUCGUGCCCUGGUUAUUCUUCUACAAGCUUCAGACUUGGCUAGAUGCUAUACUCUUGGGAUAUGAUCCAUACAGCUACUGCUGCCUUCUAAACUUUCUCCAUGCUCAUUACUACACCACAGUAACACUGAAAACACUCUUUACCCCACAAGAUCAUCUCUAAAAGUCCUCCCUCUUCAGUCCUCCCUAGACCUACAAACUCAGAACUGGUGAGUGAGCUACAAAGCUGCCAACUGGCAAUUCCUGCAUCAGACUCAAGACCUCUCUUUGCUGGAUAUGGGAAUCUCUACUUGAUUUGGUUCAUUGACUUUCCUGGAACGCGCCCUGGAGUACUCCCAGCAGACUCCCAUCUGCAGCAUCUGCAGGCCUAUCUCUCUUUGCCAAUCUGGGCUAAAAAAAACAAUGGCCCAUUCUUUUCUUGGAUUUCCCAAUCAGGCUUUAGGUUAGUGUGUUUUAUAGAUCUGUUUGGAAGAGUGAAGAAAAGUUAAGGAGAAGCAAUCAAUGGACAGAGAGUGAAGCAAGAAAAUGAAUAUGACAAAAGAAGCAAUUUAUUUAAGAUGGAAUGACAUCGCAUGCAUGGAGUUUGCCCAAGUAAAAACAGCAUGAAAUUAAGAGAUAUAUGAUCUCAAAUAUAACACUCUCACUGGGUUCUGACUGUAUAUGAAACAAUUUUUUGGAGAGUGUUUAAAAGUUUGCAAAAGGAAAAUUUUAAAAUAUGGAAAACACUUUCAGUGGCUGCAAAAGAUGUUGAUAUAUAAACUGCAAUUACAUUUUUUGUUUAUACUCAUUAUGAAUACUAAAUUAAAUAUUAUAUUCUAUUUUUAAUUAGUUAUUUUUGCCAAAGGAAGGAAAACAAGUAAUAAUUAUUAUUACUCUUCAGUGGUGGUUCUUGAGGUUCUAAUAUUAAUAUUUGCAAACAUUAGAUGUGGGGUGGAGUAUGAGAUUGAAAAGUUAAGGACUAACAACUAGGUUGCUUAACCUAGUUGAUCCUAAAUUUCCAUAAAAUAAAAUAAAAUGUAUUAUGAUAAAAUGGUAAUAUAUUUUUUAAACUUACAAAUAAUUUGAGUCCCAAAUUCUAAAGUAAAAAGUAAUUAGUAAAGUGACUAGAAUAUAGAGUUAAGAUUCUAUUAGGCUGACACAUUAAAAGUAACAUGAAGAAAAUAAAAAUAUAUUCUUAUAAACAUCUAUUAUCUGAAAAGCAAAUUUUUAAUUUGGGUGAGUUGAAAAGGGAAUGUUAAUAGUGGUAAAUAGAAUUUAAAUCAAACAAAUGCUUUUUCAAUGGUAUAACCAUUUAAAUACCAAAAUUUAAAAUAAUAAAUAAGGCAAAUUAGGAAAAAAUAUUUCAAAGAUUCACUUCUUGCCUAUUGAAAUUUUAUCCAUUUUAUGGACAAAGCCACAAAAAGGAAGCUAAAAUUAGCUUAUAGAUUUAACAUAUGUGUGUGUAUAUAUAUAUGUACAUAUAUAUAAAUAUAUUUAUGUAUAUAUGAUAAAUAUCAAGGAAGAUACAAUAUUAAAACUCAAAAUUAUCUUUCCUAUAGUUGUUCUAGGCUUUUUGCACAGAAAGCAUCAAACUUUUAUAAUAUUAUAUAUGUUUUAUAUGAUUUUUAUAUCAUAUAUAACAGGUUUUAUAACAUAAUUUUAAGUAAUAUUGUAUUUUUGGAGAUUUACCACAAACAAAGAAAUUUCAAUAAACAGUUACUGACAAGGGGUCUCACUUCUAAAAAUUUCUAAGGGCUAAAUAUUGAGUAAAUAAGGACUGACUGUUUUUUACAGUCCUACCCCCAUAUACACAAUAACAUUACUGUGAUUUUUUUAAAAAAAAGGUUAUCUUAUAACUCUUAUAUAAUCCAAUAGUGGCCAAUUUUUGUGAUUAUUUUUAUGUUUUCUAACUGCAAACUAGAACAUUGAAUUAGCCAAAUCAUGAAAGGGAAAAGACAUUACCAAUACAGGCACAACUUGCAAAUCUCUGAUGGACAUAAUCAAUUGUUAGGACAUUGGCCAUGUCCUCUUUAUAUAAUUUCCUUCUCAUUUAUAAUUCGUGAUCAAGUUCCUUAUAGAUUCACUUUCAUGGAUCUGAUGGACCUAAAAAGAAUAAGAGAAACUGGAACUGUUUGGAUAUUUCCCUAACUUUUUGGCUGUUAAAUCAUGUUGGACAAUCACCCCUACUUCUAAAAUAUCUAUCAGUACUACUCUCAGAUACAGACUCUAAAUGGAUCAUGGGUCUAUUCUAAUAACCUGGUUAAUGGAGAUUUUUUAAUGCUGAGAUACAUAGGCCCACAGAUUUACAUUUUUUAGCACUAAGAUUUUGCCUAUAAUAAUAAUUUUAACUGACUUCCAAAAUUAAAUUAUUUCAAAAGUUGACUGAGUUAUAGACCAAUAAGCCUUUUACAGUAACUAUAAGUUAAGUUUAAGUUAGUAACAACUAUGUUAAGUUAGUUAUAACUGUCUAAGAUUGAUAUAUCCUUAUCUAAUGACAGUUGAAAUUUGAGAAACUUCAUUUAUUCCCCUUCCCUUCAAAGAGGGAUCAGUGAUAGAGAUAGUUUACUUUUCUAGUUAGCAGAGUUAAAUGGGAUAGGGGAGGACAGGAUGUGGGAACAGAGGCUUGAAGUCAGGAAGAUUCAUUUUUCUAAGUGAUACUUCUUAGCUGUGUGACCCUGAGAAAGUCACUCAACUUUGUUAUCUCAUAUUUUUGAAGAAAAUGACAAACUACCCUAUUCUCUUUACCAAGAAAACCUAAAUGAACGGUCCCAAAGAGUCGGAUACAACUAAAAUGAUUAAACAACUACAAAAGAGAUGAUUGACCAUUACAUAAUAUAAAUCAAAAUAACCUGUAAUACAUUUAAACUUUUGUUAUGGUUGUAUUUAAGAUUAAAAAUUUUUUUUCUUUUGUACUUCCAAACCAAAAUAUGAAAUGACUUUUUGUAAAACUUUAAUUUCUAAGACAUAGUAAAUCAGUCACACUCAAAAAAGUAUCUCAGAGGAACAAACAUGACCAAAAGAUAAAACAUCACAGUACAAUCUAUAAACAAGAAUCAUUUACCAGGGAGUUCAAAAAUUUGUAAAGUAAUAUCACAACAGUGUGAUUUUAGUUUAAAAGUUUAAAAAGUCAAUACUGUAGAUGUACUUACAUUUUUCAAACGAAACAAAACAAAAAAAAAAAAAGAUCAUAUUACAAGAGUCCUGCCAUUGUGCAUAAAAUACUGUGCUAAGAACAACAAAAAACCACAUACUAUUUUGGUCGUAUUUACGGUACACUGACAAGAGCAACAGAAAAAAAAAAAGACUAUGUAUCACAACAAAUGAGGCAGAUGUGAUGUCACUAAGAUCAGCUGCAUAAGCACCUUUAAUGUAACUUAAGAGAGAAAGGAACUAAGAACAUAUUACCUACACCUAGAAGUAAUUUAUGAUAGUUCCAAGGAUAUUUUAAUGAAAUAUACAUGAAUUGCAUUGCUUUCACACUUAGCUCUGAAAGGAAUUUUGUAUGGAGAAAAGGUUAUUUGUAUACAGAAUGUACAUUAAGCUGCUUAAAUGGAUGUCAAAUUUGGGUAAUAUCAUGACAGAACAGUAGAAAUUGGUUCAAAUGUCUUCAGCAAUUUAUUAAAAAUAGCAAAGAACCAAUUAAUAAUGAUCUAGCAUAUUACACUGCCUUCUCUCAGGUUAAAGUGUCUUUCUCCCACUUAAGUGUGCUAAUCCAAGAAACCUUUGUGACUAGAGUGAUUAGCAUUCCAUUUAGUAGAUAUGGGGACACAGGAAGGCAUGAUAAAACAACCACUAGAUUUAGUAUAGCCUCCUAUCAAUGCCUAUCCAAAAGGAAAUGAAAAAUACAUGUAAUUAUAAACUCUGGGCCUCUUUUCUGUAGUAAUACCUCUCCUUUUCCAUUUAACAACUGAGAAAAAAAGAAGAUUAUGAUGGAAACACUCAGUCAUAAUGCUUUCUUAUCCCUCCUGUCAUAGAUCAGUGCAAAAAAAUAAAAAAAAAAGUGUGUGGCAUGGAGGGAAGGGCUCAAACAGAUGAGUUUUAAAAGCAAAUGUCUCAGAAGCAAUUUGAAAAACAAAUUUUCUAAAAUAUAGUGGUUGUUUUUAGGAUCCAAAUCUCUUGUGAUUAUGUAGUAAGCUGUGAAUCAUUUAAUGAUCUGUGCUCAUCACAAUCACCAUCAUCACUUCUGAGAAACAUUAAAAAAGAUUAAAACAAGAAAAAUUUAUCUCUGCGUACUUUAUAUUACUUGCUUCUUCCUCAUAUCAAUUUUGGAAAUUAAAAAUCUCUAGACAUUUCAAAAACUUAAUAAAAAGAGACAAUUUCUGAAAAGAUAAUUUACUCACCAUUUUUUUUGACAGAACUCUUCCCUUGAGUGUACAAUGCAAAAGCUAAAAUAGACACUUUUAAUGAUCACACAACAUAAUCAUCUAAACUUUUGAGUAUAUUUCCCCUCUUAUAGUCUUAAUCUGAUCUUAUCUAUUAAAUCCAGUUUAUAAAUCCUUUAGGCAGGGACUGUAAUCCAAUCUCCUAUAUAAUGCAUUGCACAUAACUGAUGUUUAAAUUAUUAUUAAUAGUGAAAUAAGAAAGCAGUAGCAAGACAGCUGAUCUUUAUUAAUAAUCUAUGUACUUAAUAUUCGUGGUACUAUUUCUAUUUAAAUGAGACCACUUCAGGAAAUUUCACUAGUCCUAAAUUCAGUGUUUAGAAACAGUGGGUUUUUUUUUUUUUUAAACAAACUUAUAUUAUGUCUUUGACAAGCUUUGGAUCUCUCUGAAGGGAAGGGAAAACAGAGCAGUAGCAGGCUGCAUGGAACUGGAGUCUUACAAAGUUAAUGUCAUUUUCUUAUCAUUGGGUCUAAAUAAAAAUUUUAAAUGCCAAAUAUACACAUUCCAGUUUUAUGGAAAUACACACACACACACACACACACACACACACCACUCACUCAUACACUUCCUCAAGUUCAGCAAUGUGAAAAACAAUCAUUUUAGUAACCUCGUCUGAACACAGACAAUCUAUUCCCAUACACAUAGUGCAGAAUUCCGGGCAUUUUACCCAUAUAUGAUAAUGUUGAGUAAGAUUUUCUAUUUUUCAACAAAUGGCAUUACAGUCAGCAAAAUCAUCUGAUAGAAAUAGAUAAUUUAAAAAAUUAUUACUUAGAUCCCACUGCACUGCAAAACUUUUCUUACAUCAAGUCUGUUUAUGCACUGAUUGUAGAUGCCAGAUUUAAAUCUAUAAUCCUGACAUUUGAGUUAUUAAUAUAUGAAAUACUAACAUAAGGAUAAAAACCUCAGUGAUAAGAGGCUUAUUAC